rnacentral:rRNA from 1 species
AGUGAACGCUGGCGGUAGGCCUAACACAUGCAAGUCGAACGGCAGCACAGUAAGAGCUUGCUCUUACGGGUGGCGAGUGGCGGACGGGUGAGGAAUACAUCGGAAUCUACUUUUUCGUGGGGGAUAACGUAGGGAAACUUACGCUAAUACCGCAUACGACCUACGGGUGAAAGCAGGGGAUCUUCGGACCUUGCGCGAUUGAUGAUCCGAUGUCGGAUUAGCUAGUUGGCGGGGUAAAGGCCCACCAAGGCGACGAUCCGUAGCUGGUCUGAGAGGAUGAUCAGCCACACUGGAACUGAGACACGGUCCAGACUCCUACGGGAGGCAGCAGUGGGGAAUAUUGGACAAUGGGCGCAAGCCUGAUCCAGCCAUACCGCGUGGGUGAAGAAGGCCUUCGGGUUGUAAAGCACUUUUGUUGGGAAAGAAAAGCAGCAGGUUAAUACCCCGCUGUUCUGACGGUACCCAAAGAAUAAGCACCGGCUAACUUCGUG